CAUCCUUGAUCCUAGCUAAUCCUCUGAGCUAAUCUCUCAAUCAUGAGUGAGAGCCAAGAAGGAAGACAGGAAUAGUCAAGAUUGUUACAGCACAAACUCAUACCAUUCAAGCCUUUCAAUGGGAGGAGAAGCCUCAGUGCUAUAAAACACCACCAGUCCCAAAGGCAGGAGGUCCUUGGGGAUAGGACCAUGUGCACCACUAUGGUGGUCCUCACCACCAUCGCUCUCAUCCUGCGGCAGAGAUUUUCCGGCAAAAUCUGGCCGCAGAAAGAGGCUGUUGAGAAAGAUGUGCCAUACAUGAAGAGCAAUGGAGCAGCAGAAACCCCAAAAAGACAACAGUGAGCAUCACAGGACAAGACCAGAGUGGGCCAUCAAGUCCGGUGAGCAUCAGUGGCCGCUGCUAUCAAGAUAUUUUCCCCCAGAUACUACAAGAGAGACUUCCUGUUAUCUUUUCUGUUGUUUUCUCUCAUUGAUCAGAUUCUGAUUCAUGUGCACUUGACAGCUCACGACAAGACUCCCACCAGGAUUUAAAAAAAAAGUGGGCUAGAAAAACAAUGAGCCCUGUUUUGAUCGUGGCUUCCCUUAUCUGUCCUGCAGAUGCUCUCAUUACCGAAACCGGAAACAGCAACUGAGUGGAUUCCAGCUUGGAAGAUGAAGCCUGACAAAUGCUGUGUAGCUAUUUGUCACAAAAACUGAAUUUACAAUAUUGUUUUCUGUUACAGAACAGAUGUGGUCAGGGUUUUAAGUGAUAAAACAUGUUCUGUGCCUCUGUAUUAAAACCAGCUACAAUGAUUUAGUUGAUCUUCUUGCUUUUAAAAUAUUUUGAACUAUUUGUGAUAAAUGUAUGCAUGAGGACAGGAUGUAUCUUAAAGAGUAGCUUCUCUGAAGAUCUCAUAAGUGACCUAAUUAAUCCUGAACUAGGGGCUGAAGUCAUGUAUUGUCUUGUGCACUGUAUGGCAGGUAGGGUCAUUCCGUGAGUCCCUUAAAGGUUCAUGUUGUUCUCACAGGGGAAGCCCUCUGAUUAAAUAAGUGUCACUGUGUGCUUCUGAGUGUCACUGAUAUCGUCUCUUUUACAUGAACUAAGAAUAGCUGUGUUUGUUCUGCUGUUAACUUAUUAAAAUAUGUACAUUUAUCUAAUAA